UUCAUUCAGUAUUGUUGUAAUUGGCAUUAUUACAAAUAAAUAAAUAAUCAACCGAUUAAUCGGUAUCGGCUUUUUUCGUGCUCCAAUAAUCGGAAUCGGCGUUGAAAAGUCAUCAUCGGUCGACCUCUAGUGCUGACUGUGCACCCGAAGCAUGAAGAGGAGAUUGAUUCAUGUAUGUGUAAAGGCACGCAUAUAAGGACUCAAUACAGUGUCCCAUACAAUCAACAAAUGACUUUUUAUAUCUUGUCAUGAAUAUAUUAACAAAAAUAUUUCUUUAUGCUAUUUAUCCUCUACAGUUGUUCUUGUACUUUUGUUUAGGAAAAGGGAAAACAAUUUCACCUGUGCACCUGGCUGGUUAUAAUAUUAUAAUAUGUUUAGUUUCUACUUUGUCAAAAAUAAGCUGUAACUGGACUUCAUUAAUUACUGUAACUCUAUUACUAAUCAAAUCUGCAAAUAAAGUUGAUCAAAUAGAUUACAUUUUUUUUAUUGUAAGGUAAAUGAAAAAGGCUUUAGGCCUAGGUUUUUUUCUAGGACUUUGUAGAAUUAUAUAAAACAUAUCCUUUUUAAUGUUUAUAUUUCAUUAAAUUCAUAAUUUACAAUAUGCACUAUUUAUCAAGUGUUGGUGCUUAUGUUUGUACACCUUGCGGGUUGAUAUGCAGCUGAUGCAUAUGCUAAAUGGAAAGCCCAGCUAUGUUCUCUAGUGGGUACUUGAAGCCUGAAAGGCCAGGUGGUUCUAAUGUUAAAAGGCCCUGUCCAGUCAACCCUGACAUCAUCAUGGCUCCAGACUAACAUUUUCCCCUGGUGUCACUGGUGCCACUAACUUUUUCAGUUGGUGGGACUAGCCCAUGAUUUGGUGGCACCCAAGAAAUGUGUUUCGCUGUGUCGCACAAUAUAAUUAAUUUCAUUCGUCUUAAAGUCAUUCACAAUACUUUAAGAAGUGUAAUAGACUACGGAGAUGGUAUUAAGUAAAUAAGUUGUUACAUCUAACAUUUCCAAGCACGAAUGCUUGAUUCAAAAUAUUUUGUUGUGCAACUUAAGCCAGUGAUCGUCAUGAAUUUUAGGUUGACAAUUAGGCUAUUUGUGUUAUUUUACUGUCAAAAUAGGGUCUGAUUUGUUUAAUAGACAUGAAUUUGUCUUCAUCUUUAUGUGCAUUAAUAUUAUAUAGGCCUAAUUCAGUUGGUGCUCAUUCACCACCUGAGGAAGUGGAAACUCAAAACACAUUCGCUCGAUCACUAACUAUAACACCUACUGCUAGUAGCCAGGUAUUAAUCUAAUAGUAAAUGUAAUGUCCAAAAUAAACUUGCGCAAUUUUUGCACGCUCCGUAUUUUAAAGCCAUAUCAGUGAUGGUAGACCUAAACAGACAAAUAAAUGGGACAUAGAUUGAUAGAUGGUAACAGACAGAUGGCAUGCUACAGAGGAACACUGAGAAUGAAUCAACCUGAGAGGACUAGACUUCACUGAGUACACAUCAGUGCUUCUAAAAUGUUCUUAUUUUUCAUACGGAUGGAGCAAUGACUGGGGCGAUGGAGCAGCUGUGCUAGCUAGCCAUAGACCUGUGCCCCAGGUGCAGUAGUGUGACAUCUUGUUUAUGCUGUUUCAGUGGGACUGGAUUAGCUCUGGGUCUGACGGGUGGAGGUCAAAGCAAAGCCCUUAUUGUCCAUGCCACUCCUCAGAAGAGCGCAGUACCAUUGGUUCAAUGGCAGUACAGGACAAGUAUGUGUUGCUUGUCCUCUCUGCAGUGGAAGUAUGGAUGGAAUGUAACCUGAGCAUCUGCAGUGUGUCUGGUUAUUGUACUGUCACCACUGUCCACCCUCCCCCUGCUCUCACUAACCUCACUCUUAUGUGAGAAGGAGUUAAACCGGGCGCACGAAUCCAUGUAUAAUGAGGUGGGUCCCCCCCCACAUGAGAUGCAUGUUUCGGUUCUACCUCCAAAGAAUAACAAAGGCUACUUAUUCACGAAUUGGGUGUGAUAAUUUCCAUGUGGAGUUGAUUAACAUCAACAAAUAGGACACUAACAGCUGUCAGGCUGGCUAGCUAGCAUGCUAUAUUGCUAACCUUAUCUAGCUAGCUAAUGUUAUCGGUUGCUUUUUAUAUAUUUUUUUGUACACUGUCUUCAAAAGAUUAGCCAUCUCGCUCUAUAGCCUUGUUCACACUGCAAUCCUUAAUGCUCAAAUCAGUUUUGUUUUUCAAAUCUGUUUUCUAGAACUGACUGUCCAAACAGCAAGUUACAAGUGACCAAAUUGGAUUUGUGUGUUCAGACAGCAGUCAUUUGCUGACAUGGCUACACUAGUUGUUAUAUUAACUGCGGGUGUGUGUGCUGUGGUGUAAGCUGCUUAGUGGUACUCAUGCUUCCUAUCACUUAGAAGUUAUUUAGCAAGCUAAGGUAACAACAAUGCCUGCCAUGGACAUUUCUCAUUUGCUUUGAAUGUUCAAAGUCAUAGUGUAAGUACACUCUUUAAAGCCUCAAAGGAUAAGAUGAUCCAACUUUCAAAAUGACUUCUUUUUGGCUAACCACAGCAGUCACUUAGCUUAGGUAGCUGUUUAACUUUCUUGUGCAUUCACACAUUUGUUUUGUAAACAAUAAACGAGCUAGUUAGCUAACACAUGUUCUUGUCAAACUGUUAAGAGUAACGUUAUCUAGCACCUACGAAGAUGGUUUGAAAUGUGGCGCGAAAUAUCUGAUACUUUGUGCUUUUUUUGCUGUUCAGACUGCAGGAAAAAGAACGGAAUCGGAUAUGCAAAAAAAUUGGAUUUGAGUUACUUCAAACUGCCAAUGUGAGCAAGGCUUAUGGCUGGUUUUCGAGCUGGAUAGUCAUAAGCAUUGAUUUAGGGAGAACUUCGCCACAGAUGGGAACCACUGGCCUGUCUUUGACUUCGCCAUCUAUUGUUAUCUUAAGUUUUGGCAUCUUUCACAAAUUGUAGGGAUGCACGAUAUAUCGGUAAGCAUAUCGGAAUCGGACGAUAUUAGCAAAAAAUGUCGGCAUCAGCCCGAUGUCUAGUUUAAUGCCGAUGUGCAAAACCGAUGUCAAAGCUGAUGUGCAUACCUAUAUAACGUAAUGACGCCACGGAGAAUACAGCGCUACACGUGCAAAACAGCCUUCCUAACCUAGCCCACAAUGUCUGCUGUGUGGAUAUAUUUUGUUUCAAAGGAAGAUAACUAAAAGGCCAUAUGCAACGUUUGUACUGCUAUUAUUUCCAGAGGGGAGAAAGUGAAAUCUUUCAAUACCACAAACCUAAUUACUCAUUUGAAAGUGCAUCACCCCCAGACGUUCAGCGACUAUUUCGAACGAAAGCAGAAAAAAAUGAAACCAGUUCAAGUCAAGCAGUCAUUUGAAAGAGAGAGAGAGAAUUUCAGUGAGACAACUCAAAGGUGAAAUCCAUUAACGCCAAGAUAAUAGAAUUCAUGGCCCUUGACAAUCAACCGUUCUCUGUUGUGGAUGAUGUUGGCUUUUGCUGACUGGUUGAGCACCUCGAGCCCCGGUACACACUACCAAGUAGGCUCUAUUUUUCAGAUGUUGCCCUACCGUAGUUACACAGUAUUGUUGAAACACACAUCCAUGAGCUACUUGCUAUUAGCGUCACACUGCUAUUAGCUUUACGACUGAGAUUUGGACCAGCGAUGUCAGCCCCAUGAGCACAGUUCGAAAUGAACACCCGCCAAGUGCCAAAUGCAGGUAGAUUUUCCAUUUGGCGAGAAUCUCAGAAGGCUAUCCGCCACAAUGUUUGUACCAAAAUAGCCAUGUAAUAAAAUAUCUGGCAUGAUGGCUCAGAGGAAAUUGUGUUUGCCAGCUUACCACAGACUGUCUCUAGUGCUCUAGUUUCACGGCACUGUUUACCGUACCGGACAUCGGCUACUCGACAUUGCUCACUUGCCACGGGUCUGCUGCUAGCUACCGUUCAUUAAAUAGCUGUUAUGUGGCAACAUUUACCUGGAGUAAACCAACCUUUAAAAUGAAAACCCACCGCAGAAAAGGAGGACUAAUCACAAAGAGUUCUAUGAGAAAUGGAGGUUUGGAGAUGGAGUUUCAAGAGGCUGGCUACAGUAUGAUGCGGAGGCUGUGGUGAUGAGUUGUUCUAUGUGUCGCCAGUAUGCUAAAGAUAAAAGCAGAAACAACAAAUUUGUCAUCAGAAUUAAAAUUAUGAAGCUGGAGAACAUUUGUGACCAUGCACACAGCAAGUGUCACAUUACCUGCGUGUCUAUGUCCCGGCCUCAAUCGGAGCCUCUCCUCUUGACACCCUCUGUGAUGGCGCUAAUGUCAGAGCAGACCAGCACGAAGAUGAAGAUACUGUUUAGGACUGUACAUGCCAUUGGCAAGAAGGUGAGACCACUUUCUGACUUGGAGUGGAUGUGUGAGUAAGUGAAAAUGUUGUUACUCUUGUAGCUAGACUAGUACUUUUUGUAGCGAGUUUUUAAGUCUAUUUAGCAGACGUGGUCCAGUAUUGUAGGUUAUUUCUCAGCCGUUGAUAAGCUUUGGUUCACCUCAAAAUAGUGUAUAAAUUCCAGAAAAUGAUAGGCCUACUAAUGCUGACAUGGAUCUCCAUGCUUUCCUAUGGCUCUGUAACAUAAUAUUUUAAUGCUUGUCUCCAGAUGCUGGUUACAUUUUAAAGCAUUGUGGCACAAUUGACUUUACUAGCCUUAUCGUGUUGAUUCUUAAGGAAACAAAGGGUAGAAGGCUAAUUUUGCACAAUCAACUGCCAGCUAUAUUGGAUAACAUGAUUGUAUAUUUAAUUAUUAUUGAAUUAAUUGAUGUUUCAUUUUUGCAGUUUGGAUGGGGGAAAAAAGGAAUCACUGUGGGCUCAACAUAUAGAAAUGAGAAGUAGGCCAAAGAGUUUACACCUAUUGCGUGCACUGGACCACUUCCUGCGAGGUUACCAGUGGCUUGUCCAGCACCUGGAACAGAUUUCAGAUUCAAUCUGCUGAUGCCCAAAAUGCCAGAGGUGUCCAGCAGGCCAAGGUGAGGAAAUACUACAGUACUGCAAGGGAGGCUGUUGUUAUCCGCUUCUGUGGCUUCCUGCAUGACACUCUAACACACCUGAGCAACCUGUCUGACUGUCUGCAGAGGUCCACCAUCACCAUAGCAGAAGCCCACAGCUCCUUGUGCUCAACACAGGCAGUACUUAAGAAGUACAAAAACAGAGAAGGGCCCAUGAUGAAGGCCACAGAUAUGAGGGAAUUUUGCUAACCAGAGGUGACAGCAAGACCCUCGUCACAUCACAAGACAUAAUGCUUGACAGGCUAGUCGAGAGUAUGACUGACAGGUUCCAGUAUGCCAGUGUGAGGGUCCUGUGUGCCACCAAGCUGGUCAGCUUCACCAACUGGCCAGUGUCAGGAGAUGCAGCAGCAGGUUACUUUAUGUUUUGUAUUACAGAUUUUGGAGACACUGAACUGGAAACCCUGGUGGACCACUUCCUGUCCUGGAGACCACUGGCAUCCAUGUUGAAAGGAUCCCUGACCACUUCCUAUCCUGGAGACCACUGGCAUCCAUGUUGAAAGGAUCCCUGACCACUUCCUGUCCUGGAGACCUCUGGCAUCCAUGUUGAAAGGAUCCCUGACCAGUGAACUGUCCUGGAGACCUCUGGCAUCCAUGUUGAAAGGAUCCCUGACCAGUGAACUGUCCUGGAGACUUCUGGCAUCCAUGUUGAAAGGAUCCCUGACCAGUGAACUGUCCUGGAGACCUCUGGCAUCCAUGUUGAAAGGAUCCCUGACCAGUGAACUGUCCUGGAGACCUCUGGCAUCCAUGUUGAAAGGAUCCCUGACCAGUGAACUGUCCUGGCGACCUCUGGCAUCCAUGUUGGAAGGAUCCCUGACCAGUGAACUUGUCCUGGAGACCUCUGGCAUCCAUGUUGAAAGGAUCCCUGACCAGUGAACUGUCCUGAAGGUGCUGAUGUACCAAGAGUCCCAGUCCCUGCAGAAGAUGUCCUGGUUCCUUGUCAACAGGAGCCAUCAGCAUUCCUGUCCUGGUUUUCUGGCAUUUGUUGACCUGGUCCUGUCCGUCCCUGCCUCCAUAGCUGAAUGUGAAAGAGGUUUUAAUACCAUGAAACAGGUGAAAACCGAUUGGCGGUCCAACCUAAAGUCUGACACACUGUCAGAUCUCCUUAUGGUCCAGCUGUCCUCUCCAGAGAUCAGGGAGUAUGAUCCUUUAAAAGUAUUGAUGCUGUGACACCAGGACUCUGUCAGGAGCAGGAGGCCAGACUUCAUGGACCAUGCAAAGAGAGGGUGAGGAGUUGUGAGGUUUAAGUUAAUUAAAAUGAUUAAGCAUCUGAUAGGUUUACAAAACCUUCAAAUGUACUUUUAUGUUUGAUCCUUAAGUACAUUUAAUAGCAAAUACUUCAGUAGAAUUUUGAGUUUAAGACUUCUGUUGUAUUCAGGCUGGGAAUUUAAAUCUAGCCACAGCCAAAAUUAACCAGCAUCUGAUAAGCCUCUUUUUUUAACCUGUAUUUAAUCAGGGUAUUUCUAAUCAAAGUAAAGGAUUUGUAGACCUGCUUCCCCUGUUUCCCCUUUGUAUCAGGAGAGCACCAGUUCCAUGUCCACUGUACUUCUCAUAAUUGUAUUUUACCAUUGCUGUUGCCCUGUUUUCACUUCUAUGUACUCUUAUUCAUUGUAUCUUUUAUGUUUUGUUUAUUUCAUUGUGUGCCCAAUGUUUGGUGUUUUUGCACUCUGUACAGCACUUUUGGUCAACUACAGUUGUUUUUAAAUGUGCUCUACAAAUAAACUUGAUUUGAUUAACUCUUGAUCAA